UACGUAGGCAGCGAGCGUUGUUCGGAGUUACUGGGCGUAAAGCGUGCGUAGGCGGUUGUCUAAGUUUGGUGUGAAAUCUCCCGGCUUAACUGGGAGGGUGCGCCGAAAACUGGGUGACUGGAGUGUCGGAGAGGUAAGCGGAAUUCCUGGUGUAGCGGUGAAAUGCGUAGAGAUCAGGAGGAACACCUGUGGUGUAGACAGCUUACUGGACGAUAACUGACGCUGAGGCACGAAAGCCAGGGGAGCGAACGGG
rnacentral:rRNA from 1 species